AAGAAUUGGUUCGGCGCGAGCGCUUCUUCGUUCGUCUCCCUCGACGCGCUCCAUUCCCGACCCAGAUUCUGGUCGGAAUCCCUUCUCAAAGCAGUCAGUCGGAAACCAAUCGCAGAUUCAAUAGGUUAGGGUGACCCACGGCGUCAACUCGGGACAAGCGGUACCGUCUUGUUCUUGAAUUAUUUGUGUUUUCUUUUCUUCUGCACUACCACAUCUGUGUUUUUCUUGAAUGGGAGUGGUGGUCGUUUCAGAUUCAAGCAAUAGAAAUAUACUCUGCUUAUCAUCUCUUCGUCAUGAUUACCGAUAGCUCAAUCUUCGAUUGCCUUGCUGUGAUUGUAGCGAAGGUUUCAUGUCGGAUUCUGUUUCGGUGCCAUCUUGUAUGGAUUAUCCAUUUGCAUUCACCAUCUGACGCCAAAGUUGCAUAGAUUUUUGGAUCUGUUAUAUUUCUCACCGAUGUGGUGACUCGUAGUUUUAUGUACGACUCUGAUUUGGGUUCUUUUAUUAGGGAUGUUGAAUCAUUGAGCACUAUAAGGAUUAGAUUACUAGGAUAUAAAAGAAUUAUUAAGUUGAAGCUCUUCUACAUGUAGAGGUAUCCUCCUCAAUUUGGGUGGUUCUUUUCUCAUCAUUGAUUUAAGAAUUUAAUGUGUGGAACCAAUGGUUUUGUAGAGUAUCAACUUAGACUUAUUCAGCUAUGUUUUCCCUUGAUGUUUCUUUUUAGUCAUUUUCUCUUUUUAUUCCAAUAGUUUUAUCUUCAUUUUCUAACCUUCUUUUAUGUUUACAAAAUUAAGCUUUAACUUUAAGCUUCCAUGAAAAUAUUUUGGUAGACUUUCCAACUUGAUUGUCCCAUUUGAUAUUUGCAAAAAUCAUUUCACGAUAAACUUAGGCCUGUUCAUGUCAUCAUCAAUAUCAAGAUUCUAAGUUUUUGUUCUCCCAUUCAGACAAGAUCGAUAAGAGCGAUCGGAAACAUGUACAUUCAGUUGCUAACCUAGUAAAAAACAAACCCCAUGAGACUCCCAUCAAUGCUGGAUUUGGUGAGGGUCAUCUCAGUGAUUUAAGAUAAGUUUUUCUAUAAUUCAACCUUGGUCAUUUAUGUCGCAAUGAAGUGACCUUAUCGUCGUACUAAUUUGUAUAUCGAAAUUGAAGAUGGUAAUUAUUAAUUUGUUAUACUAGUGUUAUAGAUAUUGGCAGUGAUGAAGGUCUUUGGGCAAAUUUAUUAUGCUUGUUGCUUGUUACCCUUUUAAUGGAAAUCAGUACUUGAGGGUUGCUAUCAUGGCAUCAGUCUUAAUCUUCACAUUAUUUAUUGCAUUUGUGGUGGGUUAACAUAGGCCUCGUUUUAAAGACACAAUGCUUUGGUAUGAAAACAUCCCAAACUGGUGAAUAUUCUUAUUGCAAAGUUCAGUAGAUUAUGAUAUAUAAAUUAUACCGAAUGAUCGAUAUAUAUGAUUUUGUUAUUGUUAUUGUUGUUGUAUAUAGAUUGCGCCUGUAUAUAACAAUAGAAAUUAAGAUAAUUCUCAAACUUUAUUCUUGCCAAGUUUCCAUGAACUUUAUUUUAGCUUAUCUCCAUGAACUUUAUUCUUUGCCGUGAAUAAGCACGACUUCAAACCAUCUUUUCCUCGGGCUCGGGUUCCAACUGCAUGUUUUGAGGUACCUUAAGCACUCUCUAUGCUACACAUGAAUAGCAUUACUCUUUUACUCUUUUCAGUUUCUUUUUAUCUUAUUCCCAUUUGUUAUUUGCAUUCUUGACUAUGGUGAAGUUUGGUGAUUAGAGUUGCUUUAUUCUUUCCUUGGCGGGCAACUUAGGGCCACUGUGGUCCUUCAAACGCUAUGAUACCAUCAGCUGCCGGUGUCCUGUUAGUUUCAUCUGUACCUCCUCAUUUGAUGCUGAUUACCACUUGCCUAUCAUUAAUUGAUUUUGAUCAUUAUGUUGGGCCAAAAUGUUUUUGCCUGAGAGUUCAGUCUGCACGCAACAAUUGAUUUGGAGGUCAAGGUCAUUGCAAGACCCUACUGCUUUUCCUCUUUGACUCAUCUUUAGUGUGUGCUUAACAAAAGCCAGAGGCCUUGAUGGAAGUGCUGGUAUCAAUAGGAUGUGGUCCUCGAAGAGCGAGGAGUCACAACAGGCUGAAAGCCUCACUAUCUUAGCUGGGUUGAGAAGAGUAUAAUAGCAGACCUAAGCAAUGUUGGCAUCAGAGUUGGAUUCUGAGAAGAUUAUUAGCCAUUUAAAAUCACUCUUUGGACGUUCCCUGGUUGCUGGGAUCAAUACUUACUGACUUAGCUUCGAUGGCUAUGGAAGCUAAUGUAGACGAUUUUUGCAG
rnacentral:lncRNA from 1 species